GGUCAGGGAAAGGGGCUGCACCACAGGGCGGUGGGCAUGGAACGGGAUGCACAGGGCUGUGGGCACGGCCCCCAGUGCUGGAGAUCAAGGAGAGUUUGGACACUGCUAUCAGAAGUAGGGUUUGAAUUCUGGGUGGUCCUGUGUGGAACCUGGUCCUGGACUUGGUGAUCAUUCCUGGUUCUUUCCGAUGUGGGAUGUUCUAUGCCUCAAAUGUGGCCAUGUGUCAGCUCUGAGGAAAAAACCUCCCACAGAUGUGGAGCACAGAUGGUUAAUGCGUGCAAUUUUAGUGGGUCCAGGACUCAUCCACAAAUGGUAUCUCCAGUCCCAGAGGAAAUAUACAAAAUAUGAAUCCAAAGCAUUCAGCUGAGAUGUGGCAAAUGCAGACCUUAGCAACCUCAGAGACAUAACACCAUUCUUUCCUCAUCUGACAUGAUGGGAGCUUUUUAAUUCACUCUUAAACAGUUUAAUUGGUGGCAGAGGUGGAGGGGAGUUGCCAUAGGUUUUCUGAGUACUAGCAAGGAAAACAGCAACCACUGAGAUCCUAAACAAAAAUAAAUCUGGAGAUGGAAUCAUACAUUCACAGAAUAUUCUGAGCUGGAAGGUACCCACAAGUAUCUAUAAGUCCAGCUCCUGGCUCCACACAGCAACACCCAAAAUUCCAACCUUAUGUCUGAGAGCAUUUUCCAUAUCCUCCCUGAACUCCAUCAGUUCAGUGCUGUGACCUCUGGGGAGGCAGCUGUGGUGAGCAGGCUUUACAGUGAAUGACAUGGAUGUAGUGCAUGGGUGGAAGGUAAGGACAUUUUUCUGUGGCCUUGUCUUCUAAAACAAGGCUUUAAGUGGCCUGGAAUAGAGUGUCGUGGAGCUGCUCAUUGGUGAUAUUGUGGAUCUUUGAAGUCUGAAUGCUAGGGCUGGUUUUCAUCACCUGAGUUUAGUAAUCAGUAUUAUUUAUUGCUAUUCUCAGUGAAAAUUGAUAAAUAAUUCUUGAAGGCAUUUGAGAAUGAAUAAGCAUUCCAAGAAUUCUGAAGUCAUCUUUAUUUUAAUUUUAUUGCCUUAGUAUAAAUAAUUGUCCUUUUUUAGUUAUUGGGAUUUAGAAGAUACAUUUUCUUAGCUUCAAAUAGCUCAAAAAAUAAAUACAAGUCUGGAGGUACCAUGUCCUAGCAACAGCAUGCAGAGAUCAUUCCUGAGCACGAAUGGGUUCCAGGAAUGGCAGGAGGGAAGCACUCAAGUGACAUGAAGAGGGUUCAGAGUUCCAAGUCUGUGUGUAGAGCUCCAAGUCUGUGUUUAGACCUCCCAGCCAUGUGAAGCCAGGAAGAUGGUUCUGGCCUAUCCCCUCUCACCCCUGUGCACACUUUAGUGCUAAAAAUGAUACUGUAUUAAGGAAGAAGACCAGCAAAACACUAUGCCACCUGUGCUGUUUAAGUGCUUAUGGAAAGCUUGGCCAAACAAACAAGCAAAACCCAAGGAACAGUACACACUUGUAAUUAGCAGCGUCUUUUGUUCUGGGGAAGGAGUGGAGACAGCUGCCAUUAAACGUUCUGCAGGGAGUGUUUCAAAGACAGAAUCUAAGUGCUAAGAGAAAGGAAUAUUUAGUUACAAAGGAUUAGUACUGUGCUUUAUAACUUCAUAACAUAGUUACUGUUUCUAGUCACUUUGAAACAGGUAGAAAGAGACUAAUUUUUUGUAUUUGUUUUUCACCCCAGCAAAGAAGAACUGAAAAGAGUAUUUGCCCAGAUAGUGCAGUCAUCUUCAGAUUGUGUACACUUUCUGCCAUUGCUUUCACAAUCAAGUAUUUAUCCUCCUUAGGAAACUUUUGAAGGUACUUCAGUUACUCAUUUCUAGGAACUGAGGUCUCACGUCCAGAAAAAGCUCCCGUUGGUACAAGCUGUAGCUGCCCUCCUGCCUAGCAACACGGAUCAUCACAAACAAAUCCGUCCGGAGCACCCUGGCUCCCAUUGAAAUAGUGUCCAAAUACGGUCUCUGUAUCAAUAGUUCAGCAAGCACUCUUUGUGCAAUUCUUUUUGCCAGUGCUGGAUGAUAGCUCCUUCUUGACUGCAGUCUGAUUCAAGGUAUGUUCUGUUGGACUAGUGAGGCUGGUGGCUAAAAUAAAGAGAUCUGUAGAUGUGUUUCUAAAUGUCUGGACUGAGUUAAUACUGGUUAGAACAAUUAGAGAUGCUUUGGCCAGUUUGGAGGCAAAUACCAACCUCAUCUCCUCAAAUCACAUUUCCAAAGUAUGAAAUCAAUGUUUAAUGUUUUUAUUUAUAUACAUAAUGUUUGCAAUUGCCCUUUCUCCUUUCAACCAAUUUUAUCCACAGAUAAAAAGAGGGAAGAAAAAAAGAAAAAAAAAAAAAAAAAAGGUUUCAUCAUAGUCUAAUCCAGCUCUUUGAGAGGAAGAUUGCGAGUACCCAGGCUUAGAAGAAUCGUGCAUGGAUAUAGACAAGAAAAGGCUGUGGAAGGCUAGUCAGUGAAACUUUGUUAAAGAAAAGUCCAUAUAGGAGGUACUAAAGAAAGCCAGUUGGUAGGGAUUACAUAAAUAGGCAGGCGACUUAAUGCCAGUGACUGGAGAUUCACAGCAACUCAGAAGGGAAUGUGCCAGCCAUUUUCAGAAAUGACUCCAAUGAAGAUGCAUGCAGCUACAUAGAGGGAAGGAACUCUGGUGUCAGUGGGUUGUGCUGGUUAUCCGUGGGACAGUUAUUGGCUCCAAAGUUGUGUCGCUCUGCAGAGGAAGAGACUUAACUUUGAAGGCAAGAAUAAGAGAAAGAACACACAGUAGAAGAAAGACUAUCUCCCUAUAGGAUAAGAGGCCACUUCAACAUCCUUCCCCGGAGAGAAAUGGAAGAUCUCCAUGGGUUGUUCAAAACAUCGUUUUAUUCAGAUGGGCAAUGCCAUUCUGAGAAACAGAAAAGACACGACUGCAACUGUGGGAGGCAAAAGUGCAAGAGGGUGCGUGACUGUUGCGUGAGAGAAAGGAAAUGUAACUUCCUCCCUUUGUAUUUGCAUACACAGAACUUCUUUUAGCUGUAUGGUAGAACACACUAUGAUUCAGCCUAAAUUUAAACCUUUUUAUUCAGCUGCAUAAAGGUAACUUGAAAGCUGACUGUAUAGAAAAUGCUCACGUUACCUCUGCUGUUUGCACAUUCACCAGGUCUUAAUGCUUGCUGCACUGAACUGUAUUAGCUAAAGUUAUAGUUGAAUGUUCUUCCUUAUCUCUCUUUUUCAUCACUUAAAAAUCUGUUCAUGGUAAAGCCUUGUGUAUUUUGUUUCAACUCAAAAGUUACUGGGAGACUUAAGGGAAAAGAUGUUUACCUACAUAACAUGUAGGAAAAUACAUUUCCAUUAGUCUCUGAUUCAAACGUCACACAAAUAUAAUGCAAAAGAAUAAAUUUGGAAUCUAAGUCUGAAGAAAAUAAAUUCAUUAUUUUGGUGGUGCAAGUAUUUAAGACUGAAAAACCUAUACUGACACAGUAAAAAAAAACAACACCAUCCAUUCCAGGUGACGUACAGCUAAAAUUGUUUGUAGAGCUAUAUGAAUAUUGAGCUGAUGACUCUCAUUGCAAAGUUCCCUUACACAACUUAGCAAUGGCCUUAAAGUACUUUUGGUUUUAACUGUUCAAACCAUAACUGACAUCUCUCUUGCAAGUGCUGUGCCAUUUUGGAAGUGGUAACUCCAGACUUCUCCUAUUCAAGAGGGGACUAGAAAGGAGACCAUAUUUAGAAGAUCAGUCUGCUAAACCGUGAUCUGUAUACCACACAUAUAAAAAAUCUGUAUCAGACAACAGAUCUUGAUGCUCGAAUAGGAAUGUAAUAGGAAUACUGGUAAUUUACAAACAAUUUUGUUUGAAGUAAUGUACUUAUUCUUACUAUUUGCCAUACAAGGAAACGUGAAAGAAGGGGUAUUUUGUGCAUCAUAUCAGAACUACAAGUUGCUCCUGUUGGUGAAGUCUCCACACCUGUUCUCUCCAAACUAACUGUGGCUCAGUCACUACAGAAUUUUGCGAUACAAUGGGAAGCUGUUGCUGAAAGCCCUGUUUUCUGCAGUUUGUGAUGCUCUGUUGGGAAAAGGAACAACAAAUGCCUGGAAACUUUCCCUAAUUCUGGAGAAACUUUUAUGCUUGUUUUUUUUUUCCUUUCUUCAGUAGGCACAUACAGUGACACUUGUGUGUUGGGUGUAACAAAACCAUAUAUUGUCUCUUUGGCUAAGUAGAUGAUGCCUAGAGCUAUCUGGGAUUUGGGCAAGAAUUAACAACACUGUGCUGGGUUAUUUACCAUAAUUUAUUACACACUGCUCUUAUUUCUCUAACAAGCAACAUGAAAAGGACAACAAAAAGUUCCUUCUUGUGAAAACCUCAGACUGGAAUAGUUUUGCUGCUCUUCUCAGCCUUUUAAACUGGUAUUUUGUCUGCAGUUGCUUGUAAGUUCCCAAAACUGAAAUAUUACCUUUCCCAAACUAAGCCCAACCUCUCCCAGUUCUAUUCCUCUCACUCUCAAAAACAAACAAACAAAAAAAUCAAGCCUGAAGGAGCAACCAGGAUCCAGAAUUUCUUCCAAGCUGUUGAAACUUGGUAGAACCAUAAACAAUGGGAAAGAAACAAACAAACAAGGAUUAGUUGAAUGUUUGCCUCAGACAGAACAUUCUGUAGAGAAAGAAAAAAAAAUAUAUGCCAGAAAGGUUUCAGACAUUUCUCAGAAUGAAGCUAGAAGAACAUACGUAUAUUAUUUUAAAUUUCUGUAAAAUCUUUAGUCUUUUAAUUGAAAAUACUGAAAACAGCUCUUAAUAAUCAAUACAGGUGCUGCCGUGAUGUGAGAGAAUUGUUCUGUUCCUUUCCUGUUAUGGAUGCUCAAGGCUCUGAACAUCAUACACGCAAGAACAGCAUGUCCAAAAUAUCUGACGUAAUCCACGUGUCAGAUGAUGGCUCUGUAUCGCACACGCACACAGUUUGGUCUCAGUGAUUACAUGACGUACACAAAUUGAUCACAUUCAGUGUCAGGCUUAUUGAACCUAUCUGAAACAGGGACUUGGCUCUCGUGCCAGGGCUUAAGGAGACUCAGCCCUUCCUGUUAUCCUCCCCAGUGAGAACAAUGAACGUCUGAGAAAUCUGCUGGUGCAGAUUCUCACAAGCACAGCAUAGAGGCUCUUGUUCAUCUCUGGCAAAAACGUAAAGCUAUGUUGAAAAAAAAAGUAUUUUGUACCUGGAAAUCUGCUCUAUCAAACAAUGCUAUUGUGCUCUGUGUUGUAGUUUCCAUGGAAAUAAGUAGGAGGCAUUACUUCUGGAGCAACCUACGUAUUCUAGUUCUUCAGAAGAGGUAUUCAUUCAGACUUCUAAGGGUCAGACACUGGGUUUUACAUUGAAUAGUGGUGUAACCAGAAUAAACAUAAAAACGAGAGUUGCAUUUUAAAAAUAUUUAUUGAUACACAUUUAUUAUAUUAUUAUUUAUAUUACCGCAGACUCAUCUUGAUAAAUACAAGACGUCAUUGAGUAAAAAAACCAACAACUUUUGAAUGAAUGUAUCUGUGAGAUCCACUGCAGUGGGAUUUCGAAAUGACCAUUCACAAUUAUUACUGGUGAUAGAGCAGCGAGCACCUCAGCAGAUAAAGCUAGCAGGAGGUUUCAUGGCCAUGUAGGCUGGCACCUUGCAGAUCGUGCUUCUAAGAAAUUCCAUGAACGGGAUCGUGAAGUCAGGACACUGUAGAUACCUUGGAGACAAUAUCUGCCACACAACUACAGGGUAAGGAAACUCUAUUUCCCAUCACCGGACAAGCUUUGGAAGAAGCUGCCAAAGAAGGACCUGAUUUUACAAGGAUUUAGGACUUUUUUUUUUUCUUUUAAUCUAAGGGGAAUUUUCCCAGAGAGAAGCAGAAGCUUUACAUUGGGAAGUUGUAAGUAGAGUCAACUGAACUUUGUUACCAUCAGCAGAACCAAAUGCACAAUUUUAAAGGGAUGGGCCUUGCGUUACACUGGCCCUUUUGGAUGUGAGCGAAGUAUUAUGAUUAAAUUAACAGAAUGUCUUUCGCGUGUUUCCAAACGCAGAGAAAACACCUCCCUCCAGAAGCUGGAAAUAGAAGACGCAGAGGAAAUCCCAGAUGGGACAUACUUGAGACUGUGUCACUUGACUUUGAAAAUUAUUAAAGAAUCACCGUUCUUUGAGAUGCCUGAUAGUGAUUUUGAUGGAAAACUCUUCUGC